UAACCCGGGCCGAGAGGCCCGGCUGAACCGGCAGGAGUCAGCAGAGGGCAUAGUACCCGGUAGGUCAUGAACCGCCGGGGAAGGCC
rnacentral:ncRNA from 1 species